UCCUUUGGUGACAGAGCCACGCCCAGGGAGAUUGCUGAGCCCGUGACACAGUUGUAUUCUUGAUGUCCCAUUUCUGGCACAUUGGCUGUUCUGUUCCUGACACUCAUCCCCCACAGGGAACCCGUGGGCUUUGUUCAGAUGGUGUUCUCAUGAACAGAUGAAAGCCACCUGAGGACACACCAAGAAAGCAGCCAUCAACAAGCCAGGAGGAGAGGACUCACGCUGUGCUGGCACCUUGAUCUUGGACUUUCACCUUGUGGGAGAGAAAGAACGAUGUGAUGCCUGGAUUUGCAAUAACCAUCUUGGCACAAGAGGGGAGCCAACUCAAGACCACCAGCUUAUACCCCAGUGAUGGCACAGUGGGAGGGAGAGAGAUUUGGGGGCCUUGACAACAAGGUUGGG